rnacentral:lncRNA from 1 species
GAGUCCUCUUUAUUUUUUGCUUUAAAUUUAUUGACAGUUUGUUCCCAAUAGAAGCAUGGAUUGCAUUUCCCUACACAGAGAGAACAUUAGCAAGCUUCGGAAAAGGAAAACUAAAGAGACAUUAUAUAUGUAAUACUUGGAACUUUUUAUCUCACAAAAUCUUAUCAGUGCUAAUGAGUUCAUUAGUUGAUAAGUUAAUUGUGUCCUAAAGUCGUAAGACUUUGAGACUUUAACUUUGAUGGUCCAUGUCUUGUUUCGUGUAGUCAAUGAAUUCAGUGGUUGGGUGCCAUACUCCUUGAGGCCCUAAAAAUAUAAGAACAAAAUGUUGAUUAGUAAAGUAAGUAUAUAACGACAUGACAGCUUUAUAAAUACACAAUUUUAUUUUGCAAUGGCCUCCAGUGAUUAUGUGAUCACAAAGUAAAUUUAAGAUUUUUUUUAACUGGAAUAGAUAUAUGAAACCAUAUUAUGAAUGAAUAUAUUUUUUGACUAUUGAUUUGAUCUCUUUUUUCAAAACGGAGCUGUGGUAUUAAGACAGAAACCCACUAUCGAAUUUGAGGUUGGUCGAAUAUGAAAACCAUCUGAUGCACCACAUGUGUUUCUCUAUAUCGCAGCAAGCAAUCCCAUUUUUGUCUGUUAUACCUGCAGUGUGGUUCUAGUCUUCUAGAGUAAAUUAUUUUAACGUGAAUACACGGGAACCAACAUCCAUGGCAUCACCAUUAAGACAUGAACCCACACCUAUAGAAUUGCAUUACUUAAUCUAGAAUACACAUGAUAGUUUUUCUAUUUCAAUAUAAUUAACCUUCCAAUCUAACAUGUCAGAUGUUGUUAGAUGAGCACUUCCUAGAGUAUAAUUGAAGUAUUAUUGAUCCUUAAUAGGCCUGAUUAAUUUCGUGCAGUUGGUACUUACUUGAGGUGAUCUGAUUGCUCGAUGGAGCCAGCUAGUGUCCGCUGGAGGAAGACAAUGCCGAUGUGCCACUGGUUGGAGGAAGUUGACUUUGAUGUCUCGUUCGCGGGAGGAAGAUGAUGUACAAGGUAUAUCAUCUAGUCUAGAGGACAAUUAACCCUUGAGGCGUAAUUGCUCUGGUUUGGGCAAUCAAAUCUCUGUACAUUAAUGUGAGAGUUUGGAGAGAUUGCAUCUCUGAACUUUUUUUUGUGCCUGUUCUUUUUAUUGUGGGAUGGUCUGAUGGCUCAUGGAUGGUCAAACCUGUUGGGAUCAUGAGGUUUCUAUUGUGGGAUGGUCUAAUCGCUCAACCUGUUGGGGUAAUGAGAUCAUAAAUUGUGGGAUGGUCUAGUCGCUCAACCUAUUGGGGCCGUGAGAUUAUAAUUGUGGGAUGUUUUUUUAACUGAUCGUGGGAUUUUUUUGGAUAGAUCGUGGGGUGUUUUUUUACAUCAAUCGUGGGAUGUUUUUUUUACAUCAAUCGUGGGAUGGUUUGAUAGCUCAUGGGUUUCAGACUUGAUGGGAUUGUGAGAUUUAAAGUUCCCAUCUGGUUUACGAACAUCUAAUGGUUGUAGCUUGUUGAUUGGAAAUAGGCACACUGAAUUAAAGGUCACAUAUUUCUAAUUAUUGUGAGAUUUUCUAAGCUAAUUACCUUUAUUCUGAUUACCCUGUCAAGUCUCCCUCCGUCUCAUAAUAAGACAUUUUUUAACACUAAUAUAAUGUCAAAAUACAUUUUAUAUUAUGGGACUGAGGGGGUACUUUUUAUAUAUAAUAGGUAGAUACUCUAAAACGGAGGUGUACCGUGUUAUAUAUAUCUCCAGUUGUAAUUGCACAAUAAGGCACACUUUUCAUAAAAGGAACCCUCAGUUCAGCAUCUCAUAGGAAAUCAAUUGUUUUCAAUCUGCUACAGAUCAACUAUUUCAAACUAACAACAAAGAACACAAAGUAAUGCAUGGAUCAGUUACUGCAAAAUCAUCACCAGUAGCAAAGAAAACCUAAUUAGACUAAAUAUUAGUAAGAAUGGCAGGCGAAGAUACCAAGAUAUGGUUAGAAUUUUUUUAACAGAAACUGCACAAUAAACAAUGGAGAGCGUGGCAGCAUCCACGGACAACCUUCAGGCGAAGGUCCUAGUCUGUGUGCUCCACCUAUUAGGAACUCGAUUGAACAAAUGCCAAAAAAAAUAGAAAAGAUACUUGGUGAGAUUAAGUGCCAGAAAGCAAGGAUACCUAGAAAUUGAUGGGCUCCUUUGUAUGGAUAGCAAUUUGUGCAUCCGCUGGUGCAAGCACUGCCCUUCGGCAAUCUUGUGAGUCCAGCCUAACAUCGCCGCCAACUUGAAUGCAUCUACUAUCUCUCAUGACAGCGCAAUCUUGUGAGUCCAGCCUAACAUCGCCGCAACUUGACUGCAUCUACUAUCUCUCAUGACAGAUCGCUGAGUACGCGCUUGAACGUGGCUGCCGGUGCUAUUUCUGAAGCAUGGUUUCGAUGGAAGCCAUCUGCAGGACCAGAUCACCGAUUACUGCUUGCACUCCGCGGACGAAGGAAUAAAGAAGGGAAGAAGACGGAGGCCUGUGCGCGUCGACGAUCUGCUGGAGGGCAAGGCCAAAGGUUGUGGCGGCGCCUAGUUGAAAGGAUGGGAUGGGAGCCUUGCUGGGAAGGAAGGAAA